rnacentral:rRNA from 1 species
UACGAAGGGGGCUAGCGUUGCUCGGAUUGACUGGGCGUAAAGGGCGCGUAGGCGGUUUGUACAGUCAGACGUGAAAUUCCUGGCCUCAACCUGGGGGCUGCGUUUGAUACGUGCAGACUUGAGUUCGGAAGAGGGUCGUGGAAUUCCCAGUGUAGAGGUGAAAUUCGUAGAUAUUGGGAAGAACACCGGUGGCGAAGGCGGCGACCUGGUCCGAUACUGACGCUGAGGCGCGAAAGCGUGGGGAGCAAACAGG